GUGAACCUUUCUGCUUGAGAAAGAGAAGUUGCUCCAGAAGAAAUGAGGAAACCCAGAGAACUGAUAGAACAUAGCUGAUGUAUCAAGUAGCAGAGGCAAGAUGUGAACUGUUGCAUAGCUCUUUCCUUCAAACUGAAGCACUCUGGCCUGCAGUGAGCUCCCUAAGCUGCUUGUGGGACUCAAAGCACUUGAAGGUGGACCUGCAGGAAGAGUACUUUGUGGGUAGCAAGGCCACAGCUGUGAUGCACAGUAGAAGAAAUGGAAACAUCACUGUCACCGGAUGGAUCUACUAUACAAACAGACAGUGGCAAUCUGACCAUCACCAACCUCUGUCUUGAGAAGGCAGAGAGGCUGUUCAUGAGGCUCAGGGAUAUUCUGAGAGAGUACAGUGUCUUCUCAAAAUCUUCCUCCUGUCUGUGUGUACAGCAGAUGCUCUGUGCAUGGGAAGGAGUAUGCUGCAUUAAGCCCCAGUAUCAAGAGCAGCCACAACCAUACAGCCAAGGCCUUGGCAAGAACUGGGAAAACUCCUGUCAGAGGAUGCAAUGUCCUUUCCAGAUUCAAUAUUAUGCAAACUGUGUAUCAGCACAUGGAGUAAACAAGUAUGGCCAGGAAGCUUCUUGAUACACAGAGAUGGAGGCCUCACCAAUGCACAGACACAGACCUAUGCUCUAUGCAGUGUCUGCUGACUUCAACUCCCCUAGUUUUGGGCCAUCUUGCUUCCUUGGAACACAUGGCUGGAGUCUGGGAAUUUAGUUGUUAGUCCUUGGUAAUAGCAAGUAUUUGAAAAUCAAAUGUGUGCAGUGAUUGCCUGGGUCU
rnacentral:lncRNA from 1 species